ACGGAAGGCAGCAGUGGGGAAUAUUGGGCAAUGGGCGAGAGCCUGAACCAGCCAAGUAGCGUGCAGGAUGACGGCCCUAUGGGUUGUAAACUGCUUUUAACCGGGAAUAACGUUACCUUCGUGAAGGUAAGUGCAUGUACCGGUUGAAUCAGGAUCGGCUAACUCCGUGCCAGCAGCCGCGGUCAUACGGAGGAUUCGAGCGUUAUCCGGAUUUAUUGGGUUUAAAGGGAGCGUAGGCGGGAAGUCAAGGCAGCUGUGAAAUGUCGACGCUCAACGUCUGCGCUGCAGUUGAAACUGGUUUUCUUGAGUGCGUAAGAGGCAGGCGGAAUUCGUCGUGUAGCGGUGAAAUGCGUAGAUAUGACGAAGAACUCCUAUUGCGAAGGCAGCUUGCUGGGCCGCAACUGACGCUGAAGCUCGAAGGUGCGGGUAUCGAACAGGAUUAGAUACCCUGGUA
rnacentral:rRNA from 1 species